rnacentral:lncRNA from 1 species
CAUAAAAUAUGUAGUCAAUACAUGCAAAUAUUUUGGAUAAAAAUGACUUUGGGGCACUUUCUUUUUUUUUUUUUUUCAGUUGUUCCAUUCUCCAACGUGACUAUUGUGUUAAAAAAAAAAAAAAAAGAAAGAAAAAGCAGUCAGCUGUCAUCUGACAGAGGUCUUAGGAGAAUGGGAGGGGUGCUGAAUCCCCAGCCCUCUUCCUGGAAGCUGGAACGGAAGCUUGUACAAUCAGGAACCUGUCCAGUUUAUUUCCAACCACGUUCCAUGCUCCACUACUUACCACUCAUACGGGAAAGUUGUUUAACAUCUGAGCCUCCUUCUUUGCCUGAUCUAUUCACUCGACAGUGAGUUUUACUUAAAAGAUUUCCCGGUGUUCAAGAAGGUGCUGGCCAAUGGAAAAAAAAGUCCCAAAUUUGUAGCAUUUGCCAAUUCCAGUGGUGUAAAUACUCGCACUGUGGGUGAUUCAAGCUACCCAGGAUGAUGGCGCUAAGGGUAAGUUGGGAAGAGAUGCUGCCCAUUGGCCCAUGUGACCCAUCCUGAGCCAGUUCCAACACAUUGCUACCUACAUUGAUUCGUACGUGUGUUCCUGGUAUAGACCUCUAAGGUCUUCAAUAAACUCUAUUCAAGAAACA